GCCAGCAUGGCAUGGUGGUUUGAGUGUUGGACUAUGACUCUGGAGAUGAGGGUUCGAUUCCCUGCUUGGA
rnacentral:tRNA from 1 species